UAGGGAAUCUUCCGCAAUGGGCGAAAGCCUGACGGAGCAACGCCGCGUGAGUGAUGAAGGUCUUCGGAUCGUAAAACUCUGUUAUUAGGGAAGAACAAAUGUGUAAGUAACUAUGCACGUCUUGACGGUACCUAAUCAGAAAGCCACGGCUAACUACGUGCCAGCAGCCGCGGUAAUACGUAGGUGGCAAGCGUUAUCCGGAAUUAUUGGGCGUAAAGCGCGCGUAGGCGGUUUUUUAAGUCUGAUGUGAAGGCCCACGGCUCAACCGUGGAGGGUCAUUGGAAACUGGAAAACUUGAGUGCAGAAGAGGAAAGUGGAAUUCCAUGUGUAGCGGUGAAAUGCGCAGAGAUAUGGAGGAACACCAGUGGCGAAGGCGACUUUCUGGUCUGUAACUGACGCUGAUGUGCGAAAGCGUGGGGAUCAAACAGG
rnacentral:rRNA from 1 species